rnacentral:rRNA from 1 species
GACGAACGCUGGCGGCGUGCUUAACACAUACAAGUCGAACGGAAAGGCCCUGCUUUUGUGGGGUGCUCGAGUGGCGAACGGGUGAGUAACACGUGAGUAACCUGCCCUUGACUUUGGGAUAACUUCAGGAAACUGGGGCUAAUACCGGAUAGGAGCUCCUGCUGCCUGGUGGGGGUUGGAAAGAUUCGGCGGUUGCGGAUGGACUCGCAGCUUAUCAGCUCGUUGGUGGGGUAGUGGCUUACCAACACUUUGAAGGGUACCAAGCCUGAGAGGGGGACCGGCCGCAUUGGUACUGAGAGACGGCCCGGACUGCUGCAGUGGGCAUCAGUCGGGAAUAUUGACCAAUAGGCGGAAGCCGGAUGCAACAAUGCCGCGUGCUAGAUGAGGGCCUUCGGGGUAUAAACCACUUUCGCCUUUGACAAGUCGUGAGUGACGGUAAUUGGUAAAAAAGCACCAGCUAACUACGUG